UGGUGAUCCAUGAGAAAAUUUUGGUGGUCCACAGAGAAAUGUCACCCCCAAAGCAGCCCCCAAAGCAAUUAAUCUAGGCUGUGCGGGAACACAAGUCUGCGCUGCCACAUGGCCAGCGGGAACACAAGACUUGCAUCUCUUUCAUUGCA